GUAAAACAAAAGAAAAAGAAACAAAAGAAGAACAGAAAAGAAACAGAGAAAGAGACGAAAACAAGGGAAGAAAAAGGGGAAAGAAAAGAAAGGGGGAAAAUUGAGAUUUUAAAGCUUCAAGUUUAAUUGGUAAGCUAAAUUUAGCCCUUUUCUCUUAAUUUUGAUGUUUUAGAAACUUUAAAACAAAGUUUUAUUGAAAUUAAGUGGAGGUUAUGGAAGUUCAUAGGUUUUUAAACAUGAUUCAUGCUGAACAAGUUGUUAAAUUAGGGGUUUAGUUGAUAGAAUUUCUAGUUAGAAUAGAUAAAAAGAUUGAAUUGUAAACUAAGUUAUAAGUUUUACAUAGUUGGGAUUAAGUUAUAAAAAGCCUUAAAUUAGGGUUUAAUUAUGAAUAUUGAAUAGUUGAGUUAAUUAUGUCAAGAAAUUAAGUAGAAAAGAAGUAUGAAUUAAGAUAGAAAAGUAAGUAAGCUUAGUUAGAAUUAAAUUGAGAAUAAGUAGGAAUUGAAUAAAAUUUAAUUAUUAUUUUUUUAAUGUUGUAAUUAAUAGUGAAAAUAAUUAUCAUUUUCGUAGCUAACAAGGAAAACGAGGCAUCGGCAUCCAAUGGAAAAGAAAAGAUCGUUGAGGAGUAAACGCGUAUUCCAGGUUUGUAUUGCUAUAACUUAAUCUAUUUAAUAAAUGCUAUAUUGAAAUUGUAUUCAUGGGACAUUUAAGGUAAGGUAAGUAAUAACAUUUGAAAUUAAGUAAGAAUAUGUGUGAAUAUUGAAUUAUAUGUGAAUUAAAAUAAUAGAUGUUUUGAAUUGAUUGAAUAUUUGAAAUUGUUGUGGAAAUGAAUUUGAAAUUUGAAAAGUAAAAUAAUACCCUAUUAACUUAUCGGACUAGAUUGGAUACAAAUGGCAUUCCAUCAGAUUUGUGAUAUGAUGAGGAGAUUUGUAGUUCGACCGAGAAGACGAUAAUGUUAUUAUAUGGUUCUGUUUAUCCGAAGAGGCAUUUAAUGCCUUAUUGGUGUGUUUGGGAGGAUAUGAUAUACUAGUGUGUUAUGGAGGAUUUAUAUUAUUCUGGGUGUGUUUAGGUUGGAUAUUCCGGUGUGUUUGGAUGGAAUCCAUGUAUCUAUCAAAGUCCGAGCCUUGUUAAUAGGGUAAAUAACUUAAAUGAAAAUUUGAAAAUGAGAUUGGUUGAUUUGACACUAUUGAAAAGUACGGAAACGAAUGUAUGAGUUAAAUUAUAAAUUGAAUUAGUAUGUAAAAAAAUGUAUAUAUAUAUGAAUUUAAGAUUUAUGAAGUGAUAUAUAAAUAUGUAUAUUUAGUUUAAGUGAUUUAUAAAGAUUAUGGUCGAUAUUUGAAAUUUUAUUAUUAUUAAAUAGUUUAAUUUAUAGUAAUACCAUUAAGUAUGAAAUACUCAGCGUACGGUUGUUUCCGUGUGCAGGUAAUUAGAGUUCAAAGUUCAAUUCAGCAUCCAGAAAGAUCUCGACUCCAACAAGAAAAGUUUGGUGAUGUAUUUCUUCCUUUUGUUUAAGUGGCAUGUACUAGGUGAUUGUACACGAGUCAUAUAUAUAUGUAUAUAUAUAUGUAAAUAUAAAUGUUAAAUGAUCUUGGUUGUAAGUAAAUGGUUACAAUCUUUUUUGAUGAUAAAUAUAGUUUAAAGUUAUAAAUUAGUAAA
rnacentral:lncRNA from 1 species